CUGGUACGACUACUCCGAGAACAUGAGCUGUGACGACUUUUACCCGGCUUUCCUGCUCUACAACGCUGGAGAGCUUAAUGCCUUCGGAUGGGCCCUUAACCUCUACCACGAGUCGCCACGAUAUGAACACCCAACUCCCGAUAUCCUGGACAGCUUCUUCAACCCAGUGCCAGUUUGCCUGACCAAGCAGCCAAAAAUGUCUACUAUUCAUAUCUACAUGGACGAUGCACCGCUUCUAAACAUGUGUUAAACAAUUAAAAAAUAUGUUAUUUAUAUUG